rnacentral:tRNA from 1 species
AUUGUUAUAAAUUAACUAAAAUUUUGAAAUUUCGAAUUUCAUUUAGUUUCUUACUUUAGUUG